rnacentral:rRNA from 1 species
CGCUGGCGGCAUGCCUAAUACAUGCAAGUCGAACGAGGGUCCUUCGGGACUCGAGUGGCGAACGGGUGAGUAACACGUAGGGAACCUGCCCGUGCGACCGGGAGAACUUUCGGAAACGGAAGCUGAUACCGGAUAGGGACAGAGACGGCAUCGACUCUGUGUUAAAGGAGCUGAAAGGCUCCGCGCACGGAUGGACCUGCGGUGCAUUAGCUAGUUGGUGAGGUAACGGCCCACCAAGGCGACGAUGCAUAGCCGGCCUGAGAGGGCGGACGGCCACACUGGGACUGAGACACGGCCCAGACUCCUACGGGAGGCAGCAGUAGGGAAUUUUCGUCAAUGGGCGCAAGCCUGAACGAGCAAUGCCGCGUGAACGAGGAAGGUCUUCGGAUCGUAAAGUUCUGUUGAAGGGGAAAAAGAGCGGAGAGAGGAAAUGAACUCCGAUUGAUAUUACCCUUCGAGGAAGUCACGGCUAACUACGUGCCAGCAGCCGCGGUAAUACGUAGGUGGCGAGCGUUAUCCGGAAUGAUUGGGCGUAAAGGGUGCGUAGGCGGCCUGCUAAGUCUGGAGUGAAAGGUACCGGCUCAACCGGUACAGGCUCUGGAAACUGGCGGGCUAGAGAGCAGGAGAGGGCGGUGGAACUCCAUGUGUAGCGGUAAAAUGCGUAGAUAUAUGGAAGAACACCAGUGGCGAAGGCGGCCGCCUGGCCUGUUACUGACGCUGAGGCACGAAAGCGUGGGGAGCAAAUAGGAUUAGAUACCCUAGUAGUCCACGCCGUAAACGAUGAGGACCAAGUGUUGGGGAAGACCCAGUGCUGCAGUUAACGCAGUGAUCCUCCGCCUGGGGAGUAUGCACGCUAAGUGUGAAACUCAAAGGAAUUGACGGGGGCCCGCACAAGCGGUGGAGUAUGUGGUUUAAUUUCGAAGCAACGUGAAGAACCUUACCAGGCCUUGACAUAGGGUGCGAAGCUAUGGAGACAUAGUGGAGGUAAACAUCCAUACAGGUGGUGCAUGGUUGUCGUCAGCUCGUGUCGUGAGAUGUUCAGUUAAGUCUGGCAACGAGCGCAACCCUCGUGAUGUGUUACCAAUAUCGAGUUAGGGACUCACAUCAGACUGCCGGUGAGAAACCGGAGGAAGGCGGGGAUGACGUCAAAUCAUCAUGCCCCUUAUGGCCUGGGCUACACACGUACUACAAUGGCGGCGACAGAGGGCAGCGAGCCUGCGAAGGCAAGCGAAUCCCCAAAAAGCCGUCCCAGUUCGGAUUGGAGUCUGCAACCCGACUCCAUGAAGUUGGAAUCGCUAGUAAUCGCGGAUCAGCAUGCCGCGGUGAAUACGUUCUCGGGCCUUGUACAC